rnacentral:misc_RNA from 1 species
GAUGAAGAACGCAGUGAAAUGCGAUAAGUAGUGUGAAUUGCAGAAUUCCGUGAAUCAUCGAAUCUUUGAACGCACAUUGCGCCCCCUGGUAUUCCGGGGGGCAUGCCUGUCCGAGCGUCAUUGCAACCUUCAAGCGCGGCUUGUGUGUUGGGUCUCGUCCCCCGUGGACGGGCCCGAAAGGCAGUGGCGGCGUCCCGACAUGGUGCCCGAGCGUAUGGGAAUCCUCUUCCGCUCGAAUCGGCCCAUGCGGCGCUGGUCGUAACCAAAUUUUUUACCGGUUGACCUCGGAUCAGGUAGGGAUACCCGCUGAACUUAAGCAUAUCAAUAAGCGGAGGA